rnacentral:rRNA from 1 species
GCGAGUUACGAUUUGAUGCAAGGUUAAGCAGUAAAUGUGGAGCCGUAGCGAAAGCGAGUCUGAAUAGGGCGUUUAGUAUUUGGUCGUAGACCCGAAACCAGGUGAUCUACCCUUGGUCAGGUUGAAGUUCAGGUAACACUGAAUGGAGGACCGAACCGACUUACGUUGAAAAGUGAGCGGAUGAACUGAGGGUAGCGGAGAAAUUCCAAUCGAACCUGGAGAUAGCUGGUUCUCUCCGAAAUAGCUUUAGGGCUAGCCUCAAGUGAUGAUUAUUGGAGGUAGAGCACUGUUUGGACGAGGGGCCCCUCUCGGGUUACCGAAUUCAGACAAACUCCGAAUGCCAAUUAAUUUAACUUGGGAGUCAGAACAUGGGUGAUAAGGUCCGUGUUCGAAAGGGAAACAGCCCAGACCACCAGCUAAGGUCCCAAAAUAUAUGUUAAGUGGAAAAGGAUGUGGCGUUGCCCAGACAACUAGGAUGUUGGCUUAGAAGCAGCCAUCAUUUAAAGAGUGCGUAAUAGCUCACUAGUCGAGUGACACUGCGCCGAAAAUGUACCGGGGCUAAACAUAUUACCGAAGCUGUGGAUUGUCCUUUGGACAAUGGUAGGAGAGCGUUCUAAGGGCGUUGAAGCAUGAUCGUAAGGACAUGUGGAGCGCUUAGAAGUGAGAAUGCCGGUGUGAGUAGCGAAAGACGGGUGAGAAUCCCGUCCACCGAUUGACUAAGGUUUCCAGAGGAAGGCUCGUCCGCUCUGGGUUAGUCGGGUCCUAAGCUGAGGCCGACAGGCGUAGGCGAUGGAUAACAGGUUGAUAUUCCUGUACCACCUAUAAUCGUUUUAAUCGAUGGGGGGACGCAGUAGGAUAGGCGAAGCGUGCGAUUGGAUUGCACGUCUAAGCAGUAAGGCUGAGUAUUAGGCAAAUCCGGUACUCGUUAAGGCUGAGCUGUGAUGGGGAGAAGACAUUGUGUCUUCGAGUCGUUGAUUUCACACUGCCGAGAAAAGCCUCUAGAUAGAAAAUAGGUGCCCGUACCGCAAACCGACACAGGUAGUCAAGAUGAGAAUUCUAAGGUGAGCGAGCGAACUCUCGUUAAGGAACUCGGCAAAAUGACCCCGUAACUUCGGGAGAAGGGGUGCUCUUUAGGGUUAACGCCCAGAAGAGCCGCAGUGAAUAGGCCCAAGCGACUGUUUAUCAAAAACACAGGUCUCUGCUAAACCGUAAGGUGAUGUAUAGGGGCUGACGCCUGCCCGGUGCUGGAAGGUUAAGAGGAGUGGUUAGCUUCUGCGAAGCUACGAAUCGAAGCCCCAGUAAACGGCGGCCGUAACUAUAACGGUCCUAAGGUAGCGAAAUUCCUUGUCGGGUAAGUUCCGACCCGCACGAAAGGCGUAACGAUUUGGGCACUGUCUCAACGAGAGACUCGGUGAAAUCAUAGUACCUGUGAAGAUGCAGGUUACCCGCGACAGGACGGAAAGACCCCGUGGAGCUUUACUGUAGCCUGAUAUUGAAAUUCGGCACAGCUUGUACAGGAUAGGUAGGAGCCUUUGAAACGUGAGCGCUAGCUUACGUGGAGGCGCUGGUGGGAUACUACCCUAGCUGUGUUGGCUUUCUAACCCGCACCACUUAUCGUGGUGGGAGACAGUGUCAGGCGGGCAGUUUGACUGGGGCGGUCGCCUCCUAAAAGGUAACGGAGGCGCUCAAAGGUUCCCUCAGAAUGGUUGGAAAUCAUUCAUAGAGUGUAAAGGCAUAAGGGAGCUUGACUGCGAGACCUACAAGUCGAGCAGGGUCGAAAGACGGACUUAGUGAUCCGGUGGUUCCGCAUGGAAGGGCCAUCGCUCAACGGAUAAAAGCUACCCCGGGGAUAACAGGCUUAUCUCCCCCAAGAGUUCACAUCGACGGGGAGGUUUGGCACCUCGAUGUCGGCUCAUCGCAUCCUGGGGCUGUAGUCGGUCCCAAGGGUUGGGCUGUUCGCCCAUUAAAGCGGUACGCGAGCUGGGUUCAGAACGUCGUGAGACAGUUCGGUCCCUAUCCGUCGUGGGCGUAGGAAAUUUGAGAGGAGCUGUCCUUAGUACGAGAGGACCGGGAUGGACAUACCUCUGGUGUACCAGUUGUCGUGCCAACGGCAUAGCUGGGUAGCUAUGUGUGGACGGGAUAAGUGCUGAAAGCAUCUAAGCAUGAAGCCCCCCUCAAGAUGAGAUUUCCCAACUUCGGUUAUAAGAUCCCUCAAAGAUGAUGAGGUUAAUAGGUUCGAGGUGGAAGCAUGGUGACAUGUGGAGCUGACGAAUACUAAUCGAUCGAAGACUUAAUCAA